UACGUAGGGGGGCUAGCGUUGUCCGGAAUCAUUGGGCGUAAAGAGCGCGUAGGCGGCCAGAUAAGUCCGGUGUGAAAGUCACAGGCUCAACCUGUGAAUGCCGCUGGAAACUGUCUGGCUAGAGUCCGAAAGGGGCGAGUGGAAUUCCUGGUGUAGCGGUGAAAUGCGCAGAUAUCAGGAGGAACACCAAUGGCGAAGGCAGCUCGCUGGGACGGUACUGACGCUGAGGCGCGAAAGCGUGGGGAGCGAACAGG
rnacentral:rRNA from 1 species